GACGAACGCUGGCGGCGUGCUUAACACAUGCAAGUCGAACGGAAAGGCCCGGCGUUUGCGGGGUGCUCGAUUGGCGAACGGGUGAGUAACACGUGAGUAACCUGCCCUUGACUUUGGGAUAACUCCAGGAAACUGGGGCUAAUACCGGAUAGGAGCUCCUGCUGCAUGGGGGGGGUUGGAAAGUUUCGGCGGUGGGGGAUGGUCUCGCGGCUUAUCAGCUUGUUGGUCGGGUAGUGGCUUACCAAGCCUUUGACGGGUAGCCGGCCUGGGAGGGUGACCGGCCACAUUGGGACUGCGAUACGGCCCAGACUCCUACGGGCGGCAGCAGUGGGGAGUAUUGCACAAUGGGCGGAAGCCUGAUGCAGCAACGCCGCGUGCGGGAUGACGGCCUUCGGGUUGUAAACCGCUUUCGCCUGUGCCGAAGCGUGAGUGACGGUAAUGGGUAAAGAAGCACCGGCUAACUACGUG
rnacentral:rRNA from 1 species